GUAGAUAUAAUUUAAGCAAAAUGUUAGAUUGUGAUUCUAAAAACAAAGGUUAAAACCCUUUUAUCCACC
rnacentral:tRNA from 1 species